rnacentral:rRNA from 1 species
AUAGUAAUUGAACUUAGUACGAGAGGAACAGUUCAUUCGGAUAAUUGGUUUUUGCGGCUGUCUGAUCAGGCAUUGCCGCGAAGCUACCAUCCGCUGGAUUAUGGCUGAACGCCUCUAAGUCAGAAUCCAUGCUAGAACGCGGUGAUUUCUUUGCUCCACACAAUAUAGAUGGAUACGAAUAAGGCGUCCUUGUGGCGUCGCUGA